GAUGAACGCUGGCGGCGUGCCUAAUACAUGCAAGUCGAGCGAACAGAUGAGGAGCUUGCUCCUCUGACGUUAGCGGCGGACGGGUGAGUAACACGUGGAUAACCUACCUAUAAGACUGGGAUAACUUCGGGAAACCGGAGCUAAUACCGGAUAAUAUAUUGAACCGCAUGGUUCAAUAGUGAAAGACGGUUUUGCUGUCACUUAUAGAUGGAUCCGCGCCGCAUUAGCUAGUUGGUAAGGUAACGGCUUACCAAGGCAACGAUGCGUAGCCGACCUGAGAGGGGGAUCGGCCACACUGGAAAUGGGACACGGUCCAGACUCCUACGGGAGGCAGCAGUAGGGAAUCCUCCGCAAUGGGCGAAAGCCUGACGGAGCAACGCCGCGUGAGUGAAGAAGGUCUUCGGAUCGUAAAACUCUGUUAUUAGGGAAGAACAAAUGUGUAAGUAACUAUGCACGUCUUGACGGUACCUAAUCAGAAAGCCACGGCUAACUACGUG
rnacentral:rRNA from 1 species